rnacentral:rRNA from 1 species
UACGGGGGGGGCAAGCGUUGUUCGGAAUUACUGGGCGUAAAGGGCUCGUAGGCGGCCAACUAAGUCAUACGUGAAAUCCCUCGGCUUAACCGGGGAACUGCGUCUGAUACUGGAUGGCUGGAGAUUGGGAGAGGGAUGCGGAAUUCCAGGUGUAGCGGUGAAAUGCGUAGAUAUCUGGAGGAACACCGGUGGCGAAGGCGGCAUCCUGGACCAACACUGACGCUGAGGAGCGAAAGCCAGGGGAGCAAACGGG